CGGCUUUCAACACGCCACGAAAUGUGACAGGUAGCUGUGAUAGCGCCAUACCCCCUCUACCUAUGCCAAGGGUACGAGCUCAGAGAAGAUCUGCGACGAGCGCGUUCAUGAGUACCCUACACGUUCACGUUUGGCAGCUCCACGUCGACAUUCCUUUAGCGACGGAGAGAGAGAGAGAGCGAGUGAGAGGGGGUCCAGCAAUGCAUUCAGUGUUUCGAGGCACAGCCAGGACGCAGGAGAGCCACCGGUCAACCAUGAGGGACCCCUGGAGCUGAUUGGUCCUCAGUGGGCAACCUUCUGAACUACGGCAAUUGCAAGCAAACUGACUGAAGCCCAAAUGAUUGCAGUAAAUGGCCUCGGAGCACUGUUUGGACUUUGUUCUUUGAUGAGUACUACACGUACCCUACCUACAUAUUACAUUGUUCAAGUCCAAUCAAAGUUGACGCUGAUAAAGACAGUUGGGCUACGCAAUUAAAUGAUAUGUGAUCUUCCAAACUUUACAGAUAGCACAUCUUUCCUGCUAACUUUUGUCUGAGGAGAUUUAAGGUAAAUUACUCAUUAAACUAGCCUUAUGACCUUAGUACCCAGGUCACAACCAGUAAAGGCUAAAGAUGAAAUUAAGUGUCCAUGCUUAUAUCCAUGAAUGAUAGUACUUUGCUGUUAGUUCCUCUAGGUCUAGAUCCAUAAUUUGGAUUUAUUGAAUCAUAAAAUGGAAAACACUAAACAUUUCGUUCCUCAAUUGUCAAAAUUAAUAAUGAAAUAUGAGAGCACUUUAAUGGCAUUCAAUUUGCAUUAAUAUGAUUUUGUUCAAUAAUAAUGUUAUAAUUUA